AUCGCUUCUCGGCCUUUUGGCUAAGAUCAAGUGUAGUAUAGUGUCCUGCAACUUUGCUAUAAAUAUGAAAUUGUUUCAAUUACAAAAUUAAAUAUAUUGCAGCCAGUGUAGCUCAGUGGUUGAGCAUCAGCCCAUGCACCAAAAGUUCGAUUCCUGGUCAGGGCACAUGCCUGGGCUGUGGGCUCAGUCUUCAA